CGAGUCGCAAGACCGCGAGGUUUAGCAAAUCUCUUAAAGCCGUUCUCAGUUCGGAUUGUAGGCUGCAACUCGCCUACAUGAAGUCGGAAUCGCUAGUAAUCGCGGAUCAGCAUGCCGCGGUGAAUACGUUCCCGGGCCUUGUACACACCGCCCGUCACACCAUGGGAGCCGGUAACGCCCGAAGUCAGUGACCCAACCGAGAGGAGGGAGCUGCCGAAGGCGGGACAGGUAACUGGGGUGAAGUCGUAACAAGGUAGC
rnacentral:rRNA from 1 species